ensembl:lncRNA
CAGAAUCGUCCCCUCGGAGAAAGCGUUCUUCCCGUCCCUCCCUCCCCUGGGGAUUUGGUGCUCUUGUUGCACUUUUCCUCCUUACCUGUUGUGCAAACUUUGCUUUUUGUAGUAACGCAUCUCUUUGUGUUCUCAGCCGCAGCUGCCAAAAUCGUCUGUAAUAACGAGAGCUGAGCCAAAUGAAAUUGGGAUGCCGAGCCGCGUAGCCUGAAAUCCUGGUGGCGAAAUUUGGCAGCUCCCCUUACAGAACGAGCUGCACAGCCUCACGUGUGAGCUGCUGCCUUUAGUUAAGUGUGCUGGUGGGGAAGGCGAAGGCAAAUGCCUUAAGGUCUACCAUGCAUGUGCUGCAAAGAGUCAAAGCUCGGUUGUCAAAGCCAAGGUGACAGUGUAACGUCAAGGAGAAACUGACCUGGAAAAUUAGCCCGGUGGAAGAAGACUUAAAAGUGGUUUUGUCAGUUAAAUGGACUCCAAACGCCGGCAAACCCAAAACACAGCAGGUUUUGGGAGGAGGAGGCGCCCAGCGUCCUUUCCUCCUUGCCAUUAACCACCCGACUGAACUCGGACGAAAUUGGCAGCAGGUGAAGUGGGGAGGACUGUAAGUAGACACGUCGUAGCAACAGGGAACAAUUUGAGGCGCAUUUUGCACACCCGAGAGGAGCCGUCCGCCUUACUGAUGUGACACUGCCUGGAGGUGAGCGCACCGUAGAUGAAAGGCUACGACGACCAUUUCUGAUAAGCCUAAAACCUCGUGGUUCAUUAAAGUCUGAAAUGCAGUUGUAGCAGAAGUGCUAAGUCACAGCUGGCACCAGUGAUUGAGCACCCGGUGGGAAGGCAGGGCCAAUCCAGGGGAGCUCAGGUGCAUGCAAUGUACCUGAGUGGCAGGAAGGGGUGGAGCCAGGAUCCACCCCUUCCCAGGCCUCAUUUAAGGGCUGGCAGUGGAAGCGAGAGCAUCUCCCUCGAGAUCCCUGCGUACCUGGGGCUUUCUGAAGGCAAGCAGCUUCUUUCUUGUUUGUUUCUGUGCCUCUGGCUGUUGUAUUUGAGCAAGUCCUCAAUUGCUGUAGCCUGGGAGUUUGCUGCUCUGCUGUCAUUGCUGUGCUUUCCAUGGCAUUACAGUGUUAUACCAGUUACUGACACUUCAGCAGGCUGGUGUCAUCCGUAUAAAGAACAAAACAGGAAUGAUGUUGCAUUCAGACACACUUACGUGUUUUGCUCUAUGGUUGACAGGUACAAACUGCAUUAAUUUGCUUUGCGCAACUGUAAUGACCUAAGUAAGCACCACCUGCCUUCAUUUAGGCAUUAAUCAAAGUUCACGGAUGCUGUCCUGAGGAUUCCUUUCCUCUCCUUGAGCUCUGUAGAUGCUGGAUGGUGAGAUCCGGCUGCGUAUGACCCCGUAGAAAGGCUGCCUGCUCCAAAUGGCUGAGCUCAGCAGGAAAGCGUGGCUGUGCUAUGGCAAGUUGGUGCCCGCAGGGAUGUGGCAGUAGCUUCAAUUAGUUUGAGCUCUUAAAAAGAGUUGUGCUUACGUUUCUAUCUGUGCCAAUAGCAUACUGCUGAGGACUAAUGCUGUAUCUCUGAGAGAGAGAUCUGGGGAGACAGAUACCCAAAAUCCACUUGUUUGCUUUCUGUACCUUUUCUCUAGCACGCCGUUGGCCUCGCGGGAGAACCGCAUCGCAUCUCUCGUCCGAGAAGAUAAGAUUUGUGUUCCCUAUCAGCGUCCCCCGGUUUCUGCAUGAAAACCAAGCAUGCAUCACAGCUGGCAAACAAGGCAAAAGAAGAUGCAUAAGGGUACCUGAAAUGAAGCAGCUUCAAGGGAGCAGAGGAUGAAGAGCAGAUCUCCAAGCAUUAGAGGAGCAAAGCAGCAAGCCUCCCCACUCAAGAGCAUUAUUUCAAGCUCCAGCUCCUGGAACAGAAUAGCAUUACCAUGCACCCAAAGACCUCAAGCUGCUGGUAAGCUAUUGCUGGUGGCCAGAGAUGUUAGAUACUCACAAGCAUGUUCUCUUCUCCUGCAGACAUUUGAAAUCUACCACUUCUGUUUCCACCUCAAGCUUACCACAGACAGAAGGGGAACCACACCACUCUGAGCAGCAGCAGCAGCUUAAAUCCUUGGUCUCGCACGGGGAGCCCCUACAAGAAGGAGGCAGCGCUUAAUAAGAUUAGCAAAUGUUUAAGUCUGAGCAAAUAAAGAUAGCAAG